GCUUAUCACCAUUCCAGAUUGAAUAUACCCGAUCUCGUCUGAUCUCGGAAGUCAAGCAAUCUCGGGCUUGGUUAGUACUUUAAUGGGUGACCGCUUGGGAAUACCAAGUGUGAUAAGCA
rnacentral:rRNA from 1 species